UACGAAGGGGGCUAGCGUUGUCGUGAAUUACUGGGCGUAAAGCGCACGUAGGCGGCUUUGUAAGUUAGAGGUGAAAGCCCAGGGCUCAACCCUGGAAUUGCCUUUAAGACUGCAUCGCUUGAAUCAUGGAGAGGUGAGUGGAAUUCCGAGUGUAGAGGUGAAAUUCGUAGAUAUUCGGAAGAACACCAGUGGCGAAGGCGACUCACUGGACAUGUAUUGACGCUGAGGUGCGAAAGCGUGGGGAGCAAACAGG
rnacentral:rRNA from 1 species